ACUACAAUUUUAUUUAAUUAUGGAGUAUAAGGGGGUAUCCAUUGAGAGAGUAUUCUAUUUUUUUUAAAUAAUCAAAAAACUCACUAGACAUGUAUUCUCCUCUUCGAUCAGAUCAAAGAGUUUUAAUACUUUUACUAGUUUAUUUCUCAACUAUUUUGAUACUCUUUAAAUUUAUCAAAAGCUUUGGAUUUGUAUUCCAUUAAAUGCAUAUAUCCAAAUCUAGACCUAUCAUCAGUAAAUAUGAUG
rnacentral:lncRNA from 1 species